GGGAGGGAAGAAUCGAAGUUAGAGGGGGAAGCGCCGGAGGAGUCACGCUGCUGGGAUAAUCGGCGGCGGAGGGAAUAAUCAACGGAGGAUAUGGCGAGGGAGGGAGGAAUCGAAGGUGGAGGGGGAAGCGCCGGAGGAGUCACGAUGCUGGGACGAUCGGAGGUAGGGUUGUUUUACCUUCUAAGUGAUGUAUAUGCUGUUUUUUCUUUUAUUUUUGAAGUUUACGUGUACUUAGUGUUUUUUUCUUUUAUUUUUUAAUACUGACGUGUACUAAUGAUAUGACACUUGAUCGGAACACGUCAAAUACCGGUCGCCAGAAAAUUUCUUACUACAUGUGAUUAAAAACCGGAGAGACAAUGACAAGUAUCCAC
rnacentral:lncRNA from 1 species